rfam:Corchorus olitorius cultivar O-4 contig19243, whole genome shotgun sequence.
UGGCAUAUGAUGAGAAUCAUUUUUGGGUAUGAGAAGCUCGCCAAUUUUUUAAUGCGAGCGAUGUUUGCACCUCAUACUUCCAUGACUCUGAUGCCA